rnacentral:rRNA from 1 species
UACAGAGGUCUCAAGCGUUGUUCGGAUUCAUUGGGCGUAAAGGGUGCGUAGGCGGCGCGGUAAGUCGGGUGUGAAAUCUCGGGGCUCAACUCCGAAACUGCAUUCGAUACUGCCGUGCUUGAGGACUGGAGAGGAGACUGGAAUUUACGGUGUAGCGGUGAAAUGCGUAGAUAUCGUAAGGAAGACCAGUGGCGAAGGCGGGUCUCUGGACAGUUCCUGACGCUGAGGCACGAAGGCCAGGGGAGCAAACGGG